UCCAGUCCUUGCUGCCAACUUCUAUUUCCAA
rnacentral:piRNA from 1 species